UACGUAGGGGUCGAGCGUUGUCCGGAAUUACUGGGCGUAAAGGGCGCGCAGGCUGUUAUGCGAGUCUGCUGUGAAAUGUACCGGCUCAACCGGUGCCUUGCGGCGGAUACUGCAUAGCUGGAGUACUGGAGAGGGAAGUGGAAUUCCCGGUGUAGCGGUGAAAUGCGUAGAGAUCGGGAGGAACACCAGUGGCGAAGGCGGGUAACUGGACUGCAACUGACGCUGAGGCGCGAAAGUGUGGGGAGCAAACAGGAUUAGAUA
rnacentral:rRNA from 1 species